ACGACGUGAAGUCAAACCUGAGCGAAGGCCCGGGCCGCCAGCCCUUGUCCCGCACCAGAGCCUUUGGGCAUCACUGGACUCCGGCCACCGGGGACCACACGCGCUGCGUUUAGAAGGGUCCCCGCCCGGGAGGCGCUGGGAACACGGCGUUCCCUUGGUGCCCGGCCAGGCAGCCCGCCUGCCCUGGCCCUCCCCACCACCCCCCCGGGGCACUUGCUGCCGAGUUCUCGGGCACUGCCCACCUCCAGACACGCACCGUCCGCAGCGCAGGCCCCGAGGACGCCCGGCCGGCCUGUAAGCCAAGGAGGCGACGGAGGUGGCCUCCGUGGUCUCUUGGGCCCCAAACACUUGCUGGGAGCUGCCCGGGCCGACGCCUCUCCCGGAGCCCCCGAGACCCGCCCCCCCAGCUUCCUGUCAGCCCUCAGCAGGGCCGAAAGGGCCCUCCUGCCCCAGCCGACACCUGCAAGCGACACCGGAGUAGUAAUUCCCGAUUAAACAGGCACAAAACUGAGGACUGCGGAGCGAUCACCCAAACUGACUGGAUAUUGAAGAACAAAUAUCCUGUUAGCGCCACUUCUGCCGGGUGCACAUGGCCAUAAACGGGGGCAGAGGGGCGCUGGGCCAUGAAUAUGGAAACCUGCUUCCUUGGGGUUGCGGGCUGUUAAACGAGGCUGCGUCUCAGAGAGCCAGCAGAG